UUCAAAACACGACGAGUCAUAAUUUGUUUUCUUUAAAAAAUGGUUUCCAAAUAUUGCAGAUGCUUUGCUGCAUGAUACGAGAAGCUUUAGGGUACUGCAGACUCAUUGGCUUCUGAGAACUAGAGAAAGAACUGGCCAUUCCUGAUACAUAGGCCAGCUGAGACCAUAGAAGUGCCAAGUUUGAUUACUCAGUGUAUGACCACCCCUUGCUGGCUCAUCUAGGGAACCAUUUACUUUGGCUUCUCCUUCUUCUCUUUCCUUCAGGCUGCUGAGUCAGAGACAGCCGAUGAAGCAUAGGCUGUAGGAAUGUGCAAAUAAAGUAAAGAUCAUAAAGACAAAAGGACUGAUUCAAUAAUAUGGUUUACACCAUGCGUACCUGUAACACAGAAAAAAAAUGAAGGAACCUAUGAACUUGUGGGGAAGACUACUGCCACAGCUAAGACACACCUGAAUGAAAGGAAUGCAAGAAUGGUUUUCAUUUUGGCUCAUAACGUUAUCUUUAAAACCAGCAGCAUCUUUGGUUCUGCAUAGUACAGUGAUGGCAAACCUAUGACUUGCAUGUCAAAAGUGACGCACCACAAUGCAUUGGGUGACACACCAGCAUUCACCAACACCGAGUUACCAAGGAAAAUGAAUGAACAAAAAUGCAAGCAAUAUGUGACCCUCAACUUAUCUAUUAAACCUCAGCAAAAAAAAAAAAAAAAUUAAAUGAUGUUAACCAAAUCAAAUGCAGUGUGUUCCAUAUCUUUUUUCAGUUCAAUUCAAAAUUACUAUUAAAAGCAGGAUAAUUUUAUGGUGCACUACUUUA